rfam:Glossina palpalis gambiensis isolate 146720 unplaced genomic scaffold Scaffold654, whole genome shotgun sequence.
AGGUCCCACAAUCAGAAGCGUGCUAGCGACAACCAGCCCCCGCGAAGUAAUACCUAACGGUGGUCCUGCGGGGGAGAGUGGUAGAUGAAGUGUGUGUGUGGGGGGUAGUUUUUAGUACGUAUGUGCCAAGGAUGGCGAAUCAUGCAUGCUGCUAUUAAGACCCAGCAGUAUCUUUCGAAGAUUUUCUACCUCCAGCUCAC